GAUGAACGCUAGCGGCAGGCCUAAUACAUGCAAGUCGAACAGUGUAGCAAUACACAGUGGCGCACGGGUGCGUAACACGUAUGCAACCUACCUAUUAUUGGGGGAUAGCCUUUGGAAACGGAGAUUAAUACCGCAUAAGACAGUGACAUGGCAUCAUGUAGCUGUUAAAGCUUCGGCGAUAAUAGAUGGGCAUGCGUCCAAUUAGUUAGUUGGUGAGGUAAUGGUUCACCAAGACGAUGAUUGGUAGGGGAUCUGAGAGGAUAAUCCCCCACACUGGCACUGAGAUACGGGCCAGACUCCUACGGGAGGCAGCAGUAGGGAAUAUUGGGCAAUGGGCGGAAGCCUGACCCAGCCAUGCCGCGUGCAGGAUGACGGCGUUAUGCGUUGUAAACUGCUUUUUUAUAGGAAGAAGAAGCCCUUGCGAGGGAAAGUGACGGUACUAUAAGAAUAAGCACCGGCUAACUCCGUGCCAGCAGCCGCCGUAAAAC
rnacentral:rRNA from 1 species